rnacentral:rRNA from 1 species
ACGGAGGAAAAGAAACCAACAGGGAUUGCCUCAGUAACGGCGAGUGAAGCGGCAACAGCUCAAAUUUGAAAUCUGGCCUUCCGGUCCGAGUUGUAAUUUGUAGAGGAUGUUUCGAACGUGGUCCGGUCUAAGUUUCUUGGAACAGAACGUCAUAGAGGGUGAGAAUCCCGUAUGCGACUGGGUGCCUAAGUUCAUGUGAAACUCCUUCGACGAGUCGAGUUGUUUGGGAAUGCAGCUCAAAAUGGGUGGUAAAUUUCAUCUAAAGCUAAAUAUUGGCCAGAGACCGAUAGCGCACAAGUAGAGUGAUCGAAAGAUGAAAAGCACUUUGGAAAGAGAGUUAAACAGUACGUGAAAUUGUUGAAAGGGAAGCGCUUGCAACCAGACUUGCAUGCAGUUGAUCAUCCGGCGUUUUCACCGGUGCACUCGAUUGUAUUCAGGCCAGCAUCGGUUUUGGUGGUUAGAUAAAGGCCUUGGGAAUGUAGCUUCUUUCGGGGAGUGUUAUAGCCCUCGGUGCAAUGUAGCCUACCGGGACCGAGGACCGCGCUCGGCUAGGAUGCUGCGUACCC